rnacentral:rRNA from 1 species
GAUGAACGCUGGCGGCGUGCCUAAUACAUGCAAGUAGAACGCUGAAGGAGGAGCUUGCUCUUCUGGAUGAGUUGCGAACGGGUGAGUAACGCGUAGGUAACCUGCCUGGUAGCGGGGGAUAACUAUUGGAAACGAUAGCUAAUACCGCAUGACAACAGUUAUUGCAUGAUAACUGUUUAAAAGGGGCAACUGCUCCACUACCAGAUGGACCUGCGUUGUAUUAGCUAGUUGGUGAGGUAACGGCUCACCAAGGCGACGAUACAUAGCCGACCUGAGAGGGGGAUCGGCCACACUGGGACGGGGACACGGCCCAGACUCCUACGGGAGGCAGCAGUAGGGAAUCUUCGGCAAUGGACGGAAGUCUGACCGAGCAACGCCGCGUGAGUGAAGAAGGUUUUCGGAUCGUAAAGCUCUGUUGUAAGAGAAGAACGAGUGUGAGAGUGGAAAGUUCACACUGUGACGGUAUCUGACCAGAAAGGGACGGCUAACUACGUG